rnacentral:rRNA from 1 species
UACAGAGGUCUCAAGCGUUGUUCGGAUUCAUUGGGCGUAAAGGGUGUGUAGGUGGCGCCGUAAGUCGGGUGUGAAAUUUCGGAGCUUGACUCCGAAACUGCAUUCGAUACUGCGGUGCUUGAGGACUGGAGAGGAGACUGGAAUUCAUGGUGUAGCAGUGAAAUGCGUAGAGAUCAUGAGGAAGACCAGUGGCGAAGGCGGGUCUCUGGACAGUUCCUGACACUGAGACACGAAGGCCAGGGGGAGCAAACGGGG